ACGUACACUCCUGCGGGGAGGCAGCAGUGGGGAAUUUUGGACAAUGGGCGAAAGCCUGAUCCAGCAAUGCCGCGUGAGUGAAGAAGGCCUUCGGGUUGUAAAGCUCUUUUGUCAGGGAAGAAACGGUGAAAGCUAAUAUCUUUUGCUAAUGACGGUACCUGAAGAAUAAGCACCGGCUAACUACGCGCCAGCAGCCGCGGUAAUACGUAGGGUGCAAGCGUUAAUCGGAAUUACUGGGCGUAAAGCGUGCGCAGGCGGUUUUGUAAGUCUGAUGUGAAAUCCCCGGGCUCAACCUGGGAAUUGCAUUGGAGACUGCAAGGCUAGAAUCUGGCAGAGGGGGGUAGAAUUCCACGUGUAGCAGUGAAAUGCGUAGAUAUGUGGAGGAACACCGAUGGCGAAGGCAGCCCCCUGGGUCAAGAUUGACGCUCAUGCACGAAAGCGUGGGGAGCAAACAGGAUUAGAUACCCUGGUAGUCCCA
rnacentral:rRNA from 1 species